UGGAGCGAAUCUCAAAAAGAUAGUCUCAGUUCGGACUGUGGGCUGCAACCCGCCCACACGAAGUCGGAGUUGCUAGUAAUCCCAAAUCAGCAUGUUGGGGUGAAUGCGUUCCCGGGUCUUGUACACACCGCCCGUCACGCCAUGGGAGUUGGGAGUACCCAAAGUCGGUGACCUAACCUGCAAAGGAAGGAGCCGCCUAAGGUAAUACCGAUGACUGGGGUGAAGUCGUAACAAGGUACC
rnacentral:rRNA from 1 species